GCCAUCAGUGGUUUAAAGUCAAGAGGAUGAAGUUUAGGCACAUCAAUGUAAUGCCCAUCAUUCCCACGCUGGCUG
rnacentral:lncRNA from 1 species